AUGUUUUUAUUUAUUAUUAUUUAUCACUGCUUUAUGGACUCAUUUUCUAUUAAAUCCUCAAAAAAGUUUUUAUUGCAGUAUGUGCUGUACAUAGUCACUCAGUCGUGUCUUUCUCUUUGCGACCCCAUGGACUGUAGCCCACCAGGCUCCUCAGUCCAUGGGAUUCUCCAAGCAAGAAUAUUGGAGUGGGUUGCCAUUUCCUUCUCCAGGGGGUCUUUCCCACCCAGGGAUCGAACCCAGGUCUCCCACAUUGCAGGCAGACGCUUUAACCUCUGCACCACCAGGGAAGCCCUGAGCCAUCAGGGAAGGUGGGGGCAAUUGGGGAUUCCUUAUCCAGUCCUUGACUUGGCUCAGCUUUGGAAAGUACUUCUUAUUCUGAAGGGCUUCCCUGAUAGCUCAGUUGGUAAAGAAUCCAUCUGCAAUGCAGGAGACCCUGGUUUGAUUCCUUGGUUGGCCAGAUCCCCUGGAGAAGAGAAAGUCUACCCAUUCCAGUAUUCUGGCCUGGAGAAUUGCCUGAACUGUACAGUCCAUAGGAUCGCAAAGAGUCGGGCACAACUGAGCAACUUUCAUUUCACUUUCUCAUUCUGAUGCAGAAUUACAAGUUGUGUAUGUGUGUGUGUUAGUUUUCCAUUUUAUCAAAGUAGUUUAAAAAUUCUCCUAAUUAUAUGUUUUUAAUUUCUUUUUCAGAGAAAUCAAAUAUUGGGACAUAGUAAAACUUUGAUGAGGCAACUGUGCCAGAGUUUUAGCUUUAAGAAAUCCUGAUAUUUUAUGCCAAUGUUCAGUUCAAUUCAGUUCAGCCGCUCAGUGGUGUCCAACUCUUUGCGACCCCACGAAUCGCAGCAUGCCAGGCCUCCUUGUCCAUCACCAACUCUGAGUUUACUCAAAUUCAUGUCCAUCAAGUCAUCCAACCAUGUCAUCCUCUGUUGUCCCCUUCUCCUCCUGCCUUCAAUCUUUCCCAGCAUCAGGGUCUUUGCAAAUGAGUCAGCUCUUCGCAUCAGGUGGCCAAAGUAUUAGAGUUUCAACUUCAACAUCAGUCCUUCCAAUGAACAUUCAGGACUGAUUUCCUUUAGGAUGGACUGGUUGGAUCUCCUUGCAGUCCAAGAGACUCUCAAGAGUCUUCUCCAGUGUCACAGUUCAAAAGCAUCAAUUCUGCAGCACUCAGUUUUCUUUAUAUGCAAUUGGAGAAAUGCUCUUUAUUGGUAUUCUUAUUUAUUGUCAUCCCACAUUUCAUGUUUUAUUUUUACUUUUUGGUUGUGAGGCAUGUGGGAUCUUAGCUCUCUGACCAGGGAUCAAACCCAUGCCCCCUUACAUUGUAAAGCAAAGUAUUAAAUCACUGGACCACCAGGGAAGUCCCCACAUUUCAAAAAUUCAUAUAGUGAAAAGGAAGAAGUAAAACUUUUUAUUUUCAGAUGAUAUGGUCUUAUUUAUUAAAAAAAAAAAUACCCCGAAGAAUUGAUUAAAAAAAACCCAAACGAAAAACAAAAACCCAAUCCUGAUUAGAGAUAAGUAAGUUCAGCAAACCUGAGGGAUGAAAGAUCAAUAUAAACUUCAGUUUCAUUUCUAUUUGCCAGCAAUGAGCAAUCUGAAAUUAAGAAAGCAAUUCCAUUUAUAAUAGCAUCAAAAAGAAUGAAAUACUUGGGAAUAAUUUAACCAAAUAAGUGCAAGUCUUAUACACUCUGAAACAUUGAAAGAAAUUAAGGACAUUUAGACAAAUCUAAGAACAUCCUUGUUCAUUGUUUAGAACAUAUAACGUUGUUAAGAUGGCAAUGCUCACCAAAUCAAUCUACAGAUUCAACGAAAUCUCUGUUAAUACCGCUUUUCUUUUCUUUUCUUUUUUCAGAAAUAGACAGGCUAAUCCUAAAUUGCAUACAAAAUUGCAAGGAACCGGGAAUAACCAGUAAAAUCUUGAAAACAGAAGGACAAGGUUGAAGGACGCACACUUGCCAAUUUUAAAACUUGUGACAAAGCUACAGUAAUCAAGACAGUGUGAAAUUAGCAUAAGGACAGACAUAGAUGAAUGGGAUAGAAUUGAGAGUCUGGAAACAAACUCAUACAUUUAUGAUCAAUAAAGGUGCCAAGACGAUUAAAUGGGGGAAAGAUUAGCUUUUUCAACAAAAGAUGCUGGUAAAACUAGAUAUCCACAUACGAAAGAAUGCAUUUGAACCCUUCCUUCAUACCAGAAACAAAACUUAACUCAAGGGACUUCCCUGGUGGCCCAGCGAUUAAGACUUCACCUUCCAGUGCAGGGGGAGCAGCUUCCAUCCCUUGGUGGGGAGCUAAGAGCCCACACAUCUUGAGGCCAGAAAACCAAAACACAAAAAAGAAACAGUAUUGUAUAUAAUAGAUUCAAUAAAGACUUUAAAAUGGUCUACAUUACAAAAAAAAUCUUUAAAAAAAGAACUGAACUCAAAAGAGAUCAAAGACCUAAAUGUAAGAGCUAAAACUAGAAAACUUUAGAAGAAAACAUAUGAAAGUUUGUGCGACCUUUGAUUAGGCAAUGGAUUCUUAGAAAUGAGAACAAAAACACAAGCAAUCAAGGAGGGAAAAAUACAAAUUAGUUGGACCUCAUAAAAAAUAAAACUUUUGCGGUCAAAGAACACAAAUAAGAACAUGAAAAUACAGUUCACAGAAUGGGAGAAAAUAUUUGCAAAUCAUAUAUAAGAUAGGGAGCUAGUGUCCAGACUAUGAAAAGAACUCUUACAACUCAAUAUUAAAAAGAUCACCUAGUUAAAAAAUUGGGCAAAGAGUAUGAAUAGACAUUUCUCCAAAGAAGGUAAACAAAUGGCCAAAAAUCACAUGGAAAGAUGUUUUAAACAUUAUUAGUUACUGGGGAAAUGUAAAUCAAAAUGAUAAUGAGAUGCUACUUCACAUCCACUAGGAUAGUUAUAAUAAUUAUAAUAUAUAAUUACAAUACAACAGCAUCGACAAGUGUUGGUGAGAAUGUGGAGAAAGUAGAAUCCUCAUACAUCGCUCCUGGGAGUGUAAAAUAUUUCAGCUGCUGUGGGAAGCAGUUUGGCAGUUCCUCAAAAGGUAAAAUACAGAAUUACCAUCUGACUCAGCAAUUUCAUUCACGUACACCUGAGACAAUUGAAAAUAUUCAUUCACACACAUGCUCGUGCAUGAAUGUUCACAGCAGGAUUAUUCAAAAUAGCCCCAAACCAGAAACAAUCCAAUGUCCAUCUACCGAUGAAUAAAUAAGCAAAAUGGGGUCUAUCCAUACAGCAGAAUAUUAUUCAGCUGUAAAGAGGAGUCAAGUACUAUUACGUGCCACAACAUGGAUUAACUUUGAGAAUAUGGUGCUGAGUGAAGGAAAUCAGAGAGAAAAGACCACCUAGCGUAAGAAGCCAUUUAUGUGGAAAUAUCCAGAACAGGCAAAGCCAUAGACGACAGGAAGUAGAUUAGCAGUUGCCAGUGGUUGGGGGAAGAAGAGAAUUUAGACUAACAGCUAAUAGGUAUGGGGUUUCUUUUUAGGGUGAUAGGAAUGUUCUGGAAAUUAGAUAGCAUUGAUGGUUGUACAACAGAGUGAAUAUACUAAAAAUAUACACUUUAAAAUGGUGAAUUUGGGGACUUACCUGGUGGUCCAGUGGUUAGGAGUCCACACUUCUAUUGCAGGGGGCAAGAGCUUGAUCCCUGGUCAGGGAACUAAGACCCUGUAUGCCAUGUGGUGUGGCCAAAAAAAAAAAACUAAAUUAAAAAAAAGUGAAUUUUAUGCCAUGUGAAUUGUAUCUCAGUAAAAAUGCUAAAACAAAACAGAACUGCUGUGAACUCCUCUGCCCUCCAGCAUCUAUGUACUUCCCAGGGCUUGGCAGAAGGAAGCAGGUUCCUGUACUUCUAUUUCUAUGACCAUGUUGAAAAGAAUGUAGCCUUCGUGACUGCAGUUUGACUCACGAUGAAAAUGUUUUCUAUUUCCUCCAACACUGAAUUAGGUUCAGGACACAUAUUGAGGACUGUCAAUGGUUCUCUGAAUUCAGCAGUGUUCAAACCAACAUUCAUGUAAUGAUAACAAUAACUCACCUUCAUUGAGUACUUCCUUAAUUUUUUAACUGCUGGGUGUUGACCUCCGUGGCAGCAUGCGGGGUCUUCAGUUGUGACAUGCGAACUCUUAGUGGCAGCAUGUGGGAUCUAGUUCCUUAAACAGGGAUUGAACCCAGGCCCCCUGCACUGGGAGCCCGGAGUCUUAGCCACUGCACCACCAGGGAAGUCCCCAUUGAGUGUUUUCGAUAUGCCAGGCAUUGGUUUCUGUGUAGUUCUUCGCUAAUCUUAACCACCUCUGUAGGAAACAGGCAUUAUUAUUGCUGUUAACAGCACCAUUCCCACUUUUCAGAGGGAGAAACUGAAACAGGGUCGGAAGAUCUCCUUUGUUAGAAUUCCAAGGUAUCUUUUUCAUUUACCAAAUAACCUCUAAUAAAACAUUGUCCUCUGGCAGUAGAACAUUUUAGAGAUAAGCAGAACAAAAAUUCAGUGACUGCUUUGCCAUCAUCUAUGUUUUCCCCUUUCUAAAAGCUAUUGCAUAGUCUGGAUAUGAAACUUUUCACCUGGAGACUUGAAUGUUGGCAUCUGCACCUAACGGCGAUUGCUCAUGAACUCGGCGUGCCAUUGUUCUAGGACAUCCUGCAGUGGCAUUUCAUCAAACUGCUUUCUUGCCAAGUGUUUAUAUCACUAGCUCCACAACUGGUUCGUCUGUCUUUUCUGUUGUGUCUUUUCUGUUCUUUUGCUCUGAAGAGUGAGGGCAACUAGAAGUGAUAUGCCUAUUUGGGGGCCUUUUUGGGGGCCUAUUUGGGGGCCUUUUUUCAUCUCUACCAAGAAAUUAAAUUUUUAUCCUGGGAAAUGCUAUAUUUUUCAUCUCUACCACGAAAUUAAAUUUUUAUCCUGGGAAAUGCUAUAUUGGGCUUAUUCUGGAAAAAAAAAUCAGUAGGCUUUAACCUGUGACCAGUACACAGGUUUUGAUGACUUUGAGCCUUGAUUUGACAUUUUAGAGUUGAUAAUGCACUGGGGACGGGGUGAAUCGUCAACAAAACCCAGCUUCUGGGACUUCCUCGGUGGUCCAGUGGUUAAGACUCCAUGCUUCCAUUCCAGGCUUCCACUGGUUUGGUUCCUGGUCAGGGAACCAAGAUCCCACAUGCCACAUAGUGUGGCCAAAAAAAAAAAAAGACUCCCAAACCCUCCAGUUUCCAGCUAAUGUUUAUGGUAUUUCCUAUUUGCAGUUUCUCUUUUUCUUAUUGUGUGAAAUAAUCACUCAUAUUUUCCUUCAUCCCAGCCCCUUUGGACAUAUUAUACCCCACUGAAUGCUGCUCACACUUUAUGGAUGGCAUUGUUCUGAGUAGUCAGAUCCCUAUUACUAUCUUCAUCGCCGCUUUUAUGAGUC
ensembl:lincRNA